UGCCCCCUGUAAAGUGACGCGGAAUAACCUUCUUAAUGUCAAUUUUUAAAAUUAUCCACAAGCUCAAAGCUUAUCGCUUUCGGUACGCAUGUAUAAAACUGGACAUGCGUUAAGUACUUUAAGGACAAGGUACCACUACUGUGAUUUCGCUUCAAGCUUUCAACGAAAAAGGUACUCCCUUUCGUGAUCUUGACGGUACCGUCCCGCGUUCCACGUGCAUCGCGAAUUCCAUGGAAGGAGUCCAGAAUUGAGUCACCCAUUGGAUCUACAAGUUUACCAUAUCCUAAACAUCACCGAUUUCCAGGUAAGCGAUAUUGUGCAAAGCUUGUGGAAACAUAAUUUUUAAAUUCUAUUUUUUU
rnacentral:lncRNA from 1 species